ensembl:lncRNA
GAUGUCCUGAUUUUAUAGGGGACAGUCCCGAUUUUUGGGUCUUUUUCUUAUAUAGGCUCCUAUUACCCCCCACCUCCGUCCCGAUUUUUCACCCUUGCUGUCUGGUCACCCUACCCCCAGUGGCCAGUGUAGUGCAGCACCAGCCCUCUCUGCAGAAAGGAGUCUGCGCUGGUAAAUGGUUUCUAUAGCAGCAGCAAGGUUGGCAAACAGGGCUGGGCAGAGACAGCAAGAGUUUCCAACCUCCCAAGGCAUUUAAGCUGUUACUCUUCUGCACUGCUCCUUCUUCUGAACGAUACAUGUAGGAGAUGCAGCCUGAAAAGUCAAAGAAAUUCUCUGCUUCAAAAAUGACUCACACACGCAACCUGGCACCUAGUUUCAAACAAAUGGAUACACUGAGUUCAAUUGAGGCAGAGUACAUAAAGAAUCUACAGAAAGAAGUCUACCUACUGGAACUUGAGACAUCAUUUCUAAGAGAGCAAGCUAAAAAGGCUACCAGUAUUCAACCAAAAAUCAGCACUCAAGCGGAAAAAGUGUUGCAGAAGAUGAAGGAAUUACAGUCAGAAAUAAAUACUGCUCAGCUGGAACUUGGAAAGAAAGAGAACAGCACCAAGUUUUUCGAUGCAGAAAAUCAAGCCAUGCAUAAACGUCUGCAAACUCUAUCAGAUGCAAAUACUAGAGAAAAGCUGUUAUUAAUGGAGGAUGUUACAAAGCUGAAGAAACUUGCUGAGAUUGUCAUUCAGGACAUUUCACACAAAGAAGCAGAGCUACUAGAAGUUCAGAAAGAGCUACAGAGGGCCAUGAAUUCCAUGAAAGAAAAAGAGCAUAAGCGCCAUCAUUUGGAAAAUCAACUACACCAGCAGAUUCAACACCACCAGGAUAUGGAAGCAAAGCUUGUGGAAAAUAGAUCAGAAUGUUUAAGAGUGCAGGCGUUGCUCCACCAGCUGGAGGAGAAAUACCUUACUAGCUCCCAGUCCAUGCAGCAGCAUAUUGCCAAAGAACUUCGGGAGGAAGCUGAAAAAUUAAGACAGCAGCUCAAAGAAAAAGAACUUUCUGCUGAUGAGGAUAAAUAUUUACGCAACAAAAUGGCAGAAGAUUGUGGAUAUCUGACAAAAGAAAAUGGCUUCUUACAGUCUCAGGUUCUGGAAGCAGCCAGGCAGCUAGAUAGAGAGAGGCAGCUGAGAGAGGAGGAAAGCACCUGCCGUACAAGGAGGAUUUCUGAGCUAGCCUGUGAAAAGGAGAAAGAACGACAACUUGAGAUGGAGUUCACUUACGUGAAGAGACUAUUGCAGGAUGAAAGACAGAAGGCUCUUACUGCACAAGAGCAGGUACUACGUCUCCAGCAAGAAAGGAAAUCUGUAAAUCUAAAUGGACAGUCACUUCAGAGCCAGCUAAAAGAUUUAGAAAGGAGAUGGUCAAAAGCUCAACUGGAAAAUUCAAAACUGCGAACAGAAAAAACUCAUUUAGUAGAACAUAUUUCUCAGUUACAUAAACAGAUUUCUGAGAAAGAGGAUGAAAUCCGUCGCAUGCAUGAACAUGUUAAUACUAUGUCCUAUGACCUGACUAGUCUGAAAUCUCAAGUGGAAACAGAACAUAGCUUGCAGAGAGAAAGAUGGAAAGAGUUCUCCAAUAUUCUAACGGCAUACAAGUCACCUGCUAAAUGAGCUCUAUUUAGGGAAGUAGUUACUUAAAGUGAGCUAACCUAAUAAUUUUAAAAAUGAAACUGAUACUAACAAUUAGUUCCUUAAAUUCCCAUUGUAAAAAAAUAAAAAAAUAAAAGUGUCCUGAUGCA